rnacentral:rRNA from 1 species
AUACAGAGGGUGCAAGCGUUGUUCGGAAUUAUUGGGCGUAAAGCGCAUGUAGGCGGCUUGGUAAGUCGGAUGUGAAAGCCCGGGGCUCAACCCCGGAAUUGCAUUCGAAACUACCUCGCUAGAGUCUCGGAGAGGAGGGCGGAAUUCCCGGUGUAGAGGUGAAAUUCGUAGAUAUCUGGAGGAACACCAGUGGCGAAGGCGGCCCUCUGGACGAUGACUGACGCUCAGAUGCGAAAGCGUGGGGAGCAAACAGGAUUAGAAACCCCGGUAGUCC